CAGUAGCCGCGGUAAUACGAAGGGGGCUAGCGUUGCUCGGAAUGACUGGGCGUAAAGGGCGCGUAGGCGGCGAUCAAAGUCAGGCGUGAAAUUCCUGGGCUCAACCUGGGGGCUGCGUUUGAUACUUGGUUGCUAGAGUGAGGAAGAGGGUCGUGGAAUUCCCAGUGUAGAGGUGAAAUUCGUAGAUAUUGGGAAGAACACCGGUGGCGAAGGCGGCGACCUGGUCCUUGACAGACGCUGAGGCGCGAAAGCGUGGGGAGCAAACAGGAUUAGAUACCCCUGUAGUCCCUGUCUCUUAUAU
rnacentral:rRNA from 1 species